rnacentral:rRNA from 1 species
GAUGAACGCUGGCGGCGUGCCUAAUACAUGCAAGUCGAGCGGUAAGGCUUUCACAGAUUAUUUAACCAGAUAAGUUCUUCGGAAAACUGUUUGCAGCGAUGAUUCCCCGGCUAGGGAAUCAGAGUUGAAUAAUGCGUGAAAGUACACGAGCGGCGGACGGCUGAGUAACACGUAGGAACGUACCCCAAAGUGAGGGAUAAGCACCGGAAACGGUGUCUAAUACCGCAUGUGAUCUUCGGAUUAAAGCUUCGGCGCUUUGGGAACGGCCUGCGCAUGAUUAGCUUGUUGGUGAGGUAAAAGCUCACCAAGGCGACAAUCAUUAGCUGGUCUGAGAGGAUGAUCAGCCAGACUGGGACUGAGAACGGCCCAGACUCCUACGGGAGGCAGCAGUAGGGAAUUUCCACAAUGGACGAAAGUCUGAUGGAGCAACGCCGCGCGCAGGAUGAAGGGUUUCGGCUCGUAAACUGCUUUAUCUGUGAAGAUUAUGACGGUAGC